CCUACGGGAGGCAGCAGUGGGGAAUAUUGGACAAUGGGCGCAAGCCUGAUCCAGCCAUGCCGCGUGAGUGAUGAAGGCCCUAGGGUUGUAAAGCUCUUUCACCGGAGAAGAUAAUGACGGUAUCCGGAGAAGAAGCCCCGGCUAACUUCGUGCCAGCAGCCGCGGUAAUACGAAGGGGGCUAGCGUUGUUCGGAAUUACUGGGCGUAAAGCGCACGUAGGCGGAUAUUUAAGUCAGGGGUGAAAUCCCAGAGCUCAACUCUGGAACUGCCUUUGAUACUGGGUAUCUGGAGUAUGGAAGAGGUGAGUGGAAUUCCGAGUGUAGAGGUGAAAUUCGUAGAUAUUCGGAGGAACACCAGUGGCGAAGGCGGCUCACUGGUCCAUUACUGACGCUGAGGUGCGAAAGCGUGGGGAGCAGACAGGAUUAGAUACCCUGGUAGUCCACGCCGUAAACGAUGAAUGUUAGCCGUCGGGCAGUAUACUGUUCGGUGGCGCAGCUAACGCAUUAACAUUCCGCCUGGGGAGUACGGUCGCAAGAUUAAAACUUAAUGAAUUGACG
rnacentral:rRNA from 1 species